rnacentral:rRNA from 1 species
UUUUAUUUUUUUUUUAUUGGUUCUAAGAUAAAAAUAAUGAUUAAUAGGGACAGUUGGGGGCAUUUGUAUUUAACAGUCAGAGGUGAUAUUCUUAGAUUUGUUAAAGACAAACUAAUGCGAAAGCAUUUGCCAAGGAUGUUUUCAUUAAUCAAGAACGAAAGUUAGGGGAUCGAAGACGAUCAGAUACCGUCGUAGUCUUAACCAUAAAC